rnacentral:rRNA from 1 species
GUGCACGCUGGCGGUAGGCCUAACACAUGCAAGUCGAACGGCAGCACAGUAAGAGCUUGCUCUUACGGGUGGCGAGUGGCGGACGGGUGAGGAAUACAUCGGAAUCUACUUUUUCGUGGGGGAUAACGUAGGGAAACUUACGCUAAUACCGCAUACGACCUACGGGUGAAAGCAGGGGAUCUUCGGACCUUGCGCGAUUGAAUGAGCCGAUGUCGGAUUAGCUAGUUGGCGGGGUAAAGGCCCACCAAGGCGACGAUCCGUAGCUGGUCUGAGAGGAUGAUCAGCCACACUGGAACUGAGACACGGUCCAGACUCCUACGGGAGGCAGCAGUGGGGAAUAUUGGACAAUGGGCGCAAGCCUGAUCCAGCCAUACCGCGUGGGUGAAGAAGGCCUUCGGGUUGUAAAGCCCUUUGUUGGGAAAGAAAAGCAGCAGGUUAAUACCCCGCUGUUCUGACGGUACCCAAAGAAUAAGCACCGGCUAACUUCGUG